rnacentral:rRNA from 1 species
CGUGGCGAACGGGUGCGUAACACGUGGGUAACCUUCCCUCAAGUGGGGAAUAACCGCCGAAAGGCGGGCUAAUACCGCAUAACAUCCCCUCCGGCAAAGCCCUGCAGGAGGAGGGGCCCGCGGCCGAUUAGCUUGUUGGCGGGGUAACGGCUCACCAAGGCAAUGAUCGGUAGCCGGUCUGAGAGGAUGGCCGGCCACACUGGAACUGAGAUACGGUCCGGACUCCUACGGGAGGCAGCAGUGGGGAAUCUUGCGCAAUGGGCGAAAGCCUGACGCAGCAACGCCGCGUGGGGGAUGAAGCUUCUCGGAGUGUAAACCCCUUUCGACCCGGACGAAUGACGGUACGGGUAGAAGAAGCCCCGGCUAACUACGUGCCAGCAGCCGCGGUAAAACGUAGGGGGCCAGCGUUGCUCGGAAUUACUGGGCGUAAAGGGUCCGUAGGCGGUGCGGCAAGUCGGAAGUGAAAUCUCAGGGCUUAACCCUGAGGCUGCUUCCGAAAC